rnacentral:rRNA from 1 species
UAAUACGAAGGGGGCUAGCGUUGCUCGGAAUCACUGGGCGUAAAGCGCACGUAGGCGGACUCUUAAGUCGGUGGUGAAAUCCUGGAGCUCAACUCCAGAACUGCCUUCGAUACUGGGAGUCUCGAGUUCGGGAGAGGUGAGUGGAACUGCGAGUGUAGAGGUGAAAUUCGUAGAUAUUCGCAAGAACACCAGUGGCGAAG